CCUACGGGUGGCUGCAGUAAGGAAUAUUGGUCAAUGGGCGCAAGCCUGAACCAGCCAUGCCGCGUGCAGGAAGACGCCCUAUGGGUUGUAAACUGCUUUUAUCCGGGAAUAUGUACCGGAAGAAUAAGGAUCGGCUAACUCCGUGCCAGCAGCCGCGGUAAUACGGAGGAUCCAAGCGUUAUCCGGAUUUAUUGGGUUUAAAGGGUGCGUAGGCGGCCUGUUAAGUCAGGGGUGAAAGACGGUAGCUCAACUAUCGCAGUGCCCUUGAUACUGAUGGGCUUGAAUAAACUAGAGGUAGGCGGAAUGAGACAAGUAGCGGUGAAAUGCAUAGAUAUGUCUCAGAACACCGAUUGCGAAGGCAGCUUACUAUGGUUUAUUGACGCUGAGGCACGAAAGCGUGGGGAUCAAACAGGAUUAGAUACCCGUGUAGUC
rnacentral:rRNA from 1 species